AGUGAACGCUGGCGGUAGGCCUAACACAUGCCAGUCGAACGGCAGCACCGUAAGAGCUUGCUCUUACGGGUGGCGAGUGGCGGACGGGUGAGGAAUACAUCGGAAUCUACUUUUUCGUGGGGGCUAACGUAGGGAGACUUACGCUAAUACCGCAUACGCCCUACGGGUGCAAGCAGUGGAUCUUCUGACCUUGCGCGAUUGAAUGAGCCGGUGUCGGAUUAGCUAGUUGGCGGGGUAAAGGCCCACCAAGGCGGGGAUCCGUAGCUGGUCUGAGAGGCGGAUCAGCGACAUGGGAAGGGGAACAGGGACAAUGCGACUACGAGAGGCAGCAGAGUGGAAUGUUAGACAACGGGGGGAAGCCUUGCCCAGCGAUACCGAGUGGGUUAAGAAGGCGUUCGGUUUGUAAAGACCGUUUUUGGGGAAAGAAAAGCAGCAGGUUAAGACGCAGCUGUUGUGACGGUACCUAAAGAAGAAGCACCGGCUAACUACGUG
rnacentral:rRNA from 1 species